rnacentral:rRNA from 1 species
CAGGCCUAACACAUGCAAGUCGAGCGGCAGCGACUUAACUGAACCUUCGGGGAACGUUAAGGGCGGCGAGCGGCGGACGGGUGAGUAAUGCCUGGGAAUAUGCCCUGAUGUGGGGGAUAACUAUUGGAAACGAUAGCUAAUACCGCAUAAUCUCUUCGGAGCAAAGAGGGGGACCUUCGGGCCUCUCGCGUCAGGAUUAGCCCAGGUGGGAUUAGCUUGUUGGUGAGGUAAUGGCUCACCAAGGCAACGAUCCCUAGCUGGUCUGAGAGGAUGAUCAGCCACACUGGAACUGAGACACGGUCCAGACUCCUACGGGAGGCAGCAGUGGGGAAUAUUGCACAAUGGGGGAAACCCUGAUGCAGCCAUGCCGCGUGUAUGAAGAAGGCCUUCGGGUUGUAAAGUACUUUCAGUAGGGAGGAAGGCAGUGUCGUUAAUAGCGGCAUUGUUUGACGUUACCUACAGAAGAAGCACCGGCUAACUCCGUGCCAGCAGCCGCGGUAAUACGGAGGGUGCGAGCGUUAAUCGGA